rnacentral:rRNA from 1 species
GGAUACCUACGGGAGGCAGCAGUGGGAAUAUUGCACAAUGGGGGAAACCCUGAUGCAGCGACGCCGCGUGAGUGAGGAAGUAUUUCGGUAUGUAAAGCUCUCUCAGCAGGGAAGAAAAUGACGGUACCUGACUAAGAAGCCCCGGCUAACUACGUGCCAGCAGCCGCGGUAAUACGUAGGGGGCAAGCGUUAUCCGGAUUUACUGGGUGUAAAGGGAGCGUAGACGGCUGUGCAAGUCUGAAGUGAAAUGCCGGGGCUCAACCCCGGAACUGCUUUGGAAACUGUACAGCUAGAGUGCAGGAGGG